rnacentral:rRNA from 1 species
UACGUAGGGUGCAAGCGUUGUCCGGAAUUAUUGGGCGUAAAGAGCUCGUAGGCGGUUUGUCGCGUCGGCUGUGAAAACCUGGGGCUCAACCCCGGGCCUGCAGCCGAUACGGGCAAACUAGAAUUCGGUAGGGGAGACUGGAAUUCCUGGUGUAGCGGUGAAAUGCGCAGAUAUCAGGAGGAACACCGGUGGCGAAGGCGGGUCUCUGGGCCGAUACUGACACUGAGGAGCGAAAGCGUGGGGAGCGAACAGG